GACGAACGCUGGCGGCGUGCCUAACACAUGCAAGUCGAGCGAAUGAAGUUCCUUCGGGAAUGGAUUUAGCGGCGGACGGGUGAGUAACACGUGGGCAACCUGCCUCAUAGAGGGGAAUAGCCUUCCGAAAGGGAGAUUAAUACCGCAUAAGAUUGUAGUACCGCAUGAUACAGCAAUUAAAGGAGCAAUCCGCUAUGAGAUGGGCCCGCGGCGCAUUAGCUAGUUGGUGAGGUAACGGCUCACCAAGGCGACGAUGCGUAGCCGACCUGAGAGGGUGAUCGGCCACAUUGGGACUGAGACACGGCCCAGACUCCUACGGGAGGCAGCAGUGGGGAAUAUUGCACAAUGGGGGAAACCCUGAUGCAGCAACGCCGCGUGAGUGAUGACGGCCUUCGGGUUGUAAAACUCUGUCUUCGGGGACGAUAAUGACGGUACCUGAGGAGGAAGCCACGGCUAACUACGUGCCAGCAGCCGCCGUAACAC
rnacentral:rRNA from 1 species